GUAAUUUAUUUGAAAUGCAUAGUGUUAUGUCUUGAAAAAUGUGCUAGAAUAUCUCAAUGCAGAAUGAGCCACAUGAAAUGUUCUGUUACAAUUAAAUGUUCCAAGAUAUUAGAUGGUGAAAAUGGCUGGUGAGGAACAGAGAUCAUUGGGAUGUUUUACUUUCCCCCAAAAGCCAGUAACAACUCCUAGUGGUCAGACCAGUGCCUGUGUCAGAAGUUCAGCCAUGUCCGUCUCUUAAACUGUUGUCUUGGGGAACAGUUCUAGCUCCACUGGAAAGGCAAGGAAAAUGUGGCUCUUUGCCUUCUGUCCACUGCCACAUGGCAAAUUUGUGGAUUUGUUUCAAAGUCCUUUGCAGCUUCAAAGAUUUGGACAUGUUAUGUGUAGCUCUCUGCUUUCAUUCUGUGCACCUUGGUGCAUCACGACGCUGCUGCUCCACUGCAGAGCCCUGAUCCUGUUUUCAUCCUGUCCCAGUGUGGUCUUGGGGAAGAAGCAAAGUUGUCAGUUGUUAUGUCGGCUCCACAGGGCUCUUCCCACAGUUUGCUUUCAGGGUCCUGGUAGACUGUUCGGUGAGUCAGAGCUUCACAAACAGGGCUUGAUCAUAAGCUCACUGAAAUCAAUGGAGAGACCGAUGGAGUCUGGCAUAAUUGCCUGCUGAGUGAUUUCUCGUUAAAGAUGCAAAAUAAAUAUUUUCCCAAACCCACCUUCUUAGAACUAUUCUAGAUCUAGACAGCUCCUUUUAGAAAAAAGAGACCUUUGAGCUUACUAGCCGACUCCUGUGCUAUCACAGAGAUCUUUUAAAAGAAUUUGAAAGAGUUCAGCUUGAAAGUCUGUCUUCAAAGAAAUGUUAUUUUUUGCCUUUGGAAGAGAACCUGAUCACUUUAGAGGCAAACAGCCUUUUAAUUUUCAGCCUAAAUAUAUUUGUGGACAGUCUGUACGUAGUUGUUUUCCUGCCAACACUGCUUUAGGUUAAAUGAAUCCUUUCCUCUCUCUUGUUUGCUUCCUCCUUUCUCCCUGCUUUAUUUAUAGAAAACAGUUUCAGACCUUUUCAGCCUCUGGUUUCCUAGGCUAAGAAAACCAAGCACUGGAUGCCAUCCAGAAUGCUACCUUUUCUCGAUAGGUUUGUUCAAACAAACUUGCUACCAGACCUAAUUUCCUGUACACUUUGCAUACCGGCACUAUUUGGGAUUGGCGUCGUUCAGUUCUUGGUUCAAGCGCCUCAGGCUCCCUGGUUUCUUUUCCCCUCAGACACUGCUCUGCCCAGCACUGUGUGAUUACUCCCAUUCAGCCACCUUGUCUGGUCCACACAAUUCACUGUGGCAUCCUGGUUAAGAAAACAUGUCGAAGUAUUAUUUUUUGCUGAUAUUCUUAUAACAGUUCAAAGGCCAAGAAUCUGAAAGAUGCCCUUGUUCAUUCAACAGUGACGUUAAAUAACCAGGAUUGUGCUGUGCUUUUGUUCCUCACCUAUGUAGUGCCUUUUAGCAAACUACAAAUGUGUGAAAACAGUGCCAGAUCACAAUGACACCAUUCACCUCCAUCAUCAUACUGUCGCUGGUUGGCAACAUGUUUCUUGUGAUCCAGACCAACGAUAUUUCUGGCUCACCUUAGUGUGAAUGCUUUGCUUUUUCAGUCACGUCAUUCUCUAGAAGUAAGCUGUGUUUUUUUGGUGCAGUGGCAUUUCUGGGGGGAUGUCUGGGGACAUUUCUGGGGAUGGAGGAGGGUGUUAUGAGACAAGUCGCUGCUUUUGUAAGCAAUUGCAGCCAAAUUUUCAGCGCUGUUGAUGGAAGGGCUGGAUGUGCUCACUGGGGUGAACUGAAAAGUAGCUGAAUGGCUGAACCCAAAGAAAAGUGAUCAGCUGCACAGAAUUUCCUUGGAAACCAGUAACUAGUGGUGUACUCCAGAGAUCAAUACUGGGCCCAGUCCAGUGUAAUAUCUUUACUAAUGAUCUGGACAGUGGGGCAGAACAUACCCUCAGCAAGCUUGCAGAUGACAAAUAAGUGAGGGGAGUGGUGAAUAUACCGGAGGAUUGUGGGGACCAUCCAAAGGUACUUGGACAGGCUGGAGAAAUGGGCAGUAAAGAACCUCAUGGAGUUCAGCAAGGAGAAGUGCAGAGUCCUGCACCUGGUCAAAAACAAUCCCAGGCACCAGAACAUUCUGGGGGGCACCCAGCCUGAAAGUAGCUUGGGAGAAAAAGACCUAGGAGCCCUGAUAGACAUGGUGUACUGAUGGACAGCUGGCUGAACAUGAGCCAGCAGUGUGCCCAGGUGGCCAAGGCGGCCAGCAGCAUCCUGGCUUGUAUCAGGAAUCGUGUGGUGAGCAGGACUAGGGAGGUAAUCCUGCCCCUGUACUCGGCACUGGUGAGGCCUCACUUUGAGUACUGUGUUCAGUUUUGGGGACCUCAGUACAGAAAGGAUGUGGAGGUACUGGAGCAGGUCCAAAGAAGGGCAACAAGGCUUGUGAAGGGCUUGGAGAAUAUGCCCUACGAGGAGCAACUGAGGGAACUGGGGCUGUUUAAUCUGGGGAAGAAGAGGCUGAGGGGAGACCUUAUGGCUCUCUUCCAAUAUCUGAAAGGUGCUUACAGCGAGAGCGGGGCUGGUCUCUUCUCACUGGUGACAGGUGACUUAGGGAAAUGGCCUUAAGUUGCACCAGGGUAAAUUUAGGUUGGGCAUCAGGAAAAAACUUCUUUACGGAAAGGGUUGUUAAGCACUGGAAUAGGCUCCCCAGGGAGGUGGCUGAGUCACCAGAUGAAUGCGUUUAAAAACUGUUUGGAUGUGGUGCUCAGGGAUGUGAUUUAGCGGAGGGUUGUCAGAGUUAGGAUAGUACAGUUAGGUUGCGGUUGGACUUGGUGAUCUUUAAGGUCUUUUCUAACCCGAGCAAUUCUAUGAUUCUAUGAGCCAGCUACCUACCCUUGCCACAGUAAAGGCACAUGGUAUCCUGUGCUGUGUUAGACGAAGCACUGCCAACAGAUUGAGGGAGGUGAGCCUUCCCCUCUACUUGGCUUUGGCAAGGCCACACAUGGAAUACUGUGUCCAGUUCUGGCCCCUCCCAGUACAAGGGGACAUGAGCGUACUGGAAACAGUCCAGCAGAGGAAUCCACAAAGUCAGUGAAGGGAUUGGAGCAGCUCUCUCAUAAGGAGAUGCUGAGAAAGCUGGCACUGUUCAGCCUAGGGAAGGCUUGAGGGGAUGUUAGUAAUGGCUGUCAGCAUCUGAAGGGAGUGUACAAAGAGGAUGAAGCCAGGUUCUUUUCAGUGGUGCCCAAGGACAGGACAAGAGGUAAUGGACACGAACCAGAAUACAGGAAUUUCCAUCGGAACACUGGGAAACAUUUUGUAUGAGGGUGACUGAGUGCUGGCACAGGUUGCCCAGAGUGGUUGUGGACUUUCCUUUCUUGGACAUCUUCAUAAGCAACCUGCUGGAGAAGAGCAGGGUUGGAUCAGAUGAGCUCCAGAGGUCCCUUCCAGCUUCGAACAUUCGGUGACUAUGUGAAUCAAUUUGGGGAAUUAAACUGAAUUUUAAAAAUCCAGUUAUUGUUUUGGGUACUGGGAAAUGGAUAAACAUGUAGUUUGUGAAGAACUACAAGAGUUCUUCAUUGCCAGUUGCCUCUGUCAGCUCUCACUGUUCCCUCCUUCCCUUUUAGUGUUCCUGCUC
ensembl:lncRNA